UACGUAGGGGGCAAGCGUUGUCCGGAAUCAUUGGGCGUAAAGCGCGCGUAGGCGGCCCGGUAAGUCCGUUGUGAAAGUCAAAGGCUCAACCUUUGAACGCCGAUGGAUACUGCCGGGCUAGAGUCCGGAAGAGGCGAGUGGAAUUCCUGGUGUAGCGGUGGAAUGCGCAGAUAUCAGGAGGAACACCAAUAGCGAAGGCAGCUCGCUGGGACGGUACUGACGCUGAGGCGCGAAAGCGUGGGGAGCGAACAGGG
rnacentral:rRNA from 1 species